UAUCCUUGUAAAGACCUGAUGUUCCUGAUCAGACAAUGCACAGAAAAUGAGGAGAAUAUAACAAAAGAGGUCACUGCUUCCAGAACUGCAUCAGAAAAUCAUGCUUUUACUUGUACUAUCUGGUUUUUCCAGAGGAAGGUGGACAAUCCAAUCAGGGAAGCAGACAGCUCAUAUUAAUAAGGAUCAGGUUUGCCCUGGAUGUGAAGAUUGCAAGAGAAAAACUAAAAACUAUAUAUAACGCUAACAUAUAAUAUUGUACAAUUAUUAUUGUAUUGUAUGGUAAUAUUAUCAUUGUCAUAAUAAUUAUUAUUAUCAUUAUUAUAAUUAUCAUUAUAUUAUAAACAGACAAACUGUAUAUAAUGCUAAUAUAUUAAUGUGUUAAUAUUAUCAUGAAAUAUAC
rnacentral:lncRNA from 1 species